UACGAAGGGGGCGAGCGUUGUUCGGAUUUACUGGGCGUAAAGGGCGCGUAGGCGGCCCUCCUUGUCGCGUGUGAAAGCCCCGGGCUCAAACCUGGGGAAUUGCGCGCCGAAACGGGGGGGGCUUGAGUUCGGGAGAGGAGCGUGGAAUUCCCAGGUGUAGCGGUGAAAUGGCGUAGAUAUUGGGAGGAACACCAGUGGCGGAAGGCGGCUCACUGGACCGGUU
rnacentral:rRNA from 1 species